rnacentral:lncRNA from 1 species
GAUUGUCCUUAUGCAGAAAACAAGUGUGGGGGAAUGAGAUUUUUGUGUUUUGUGUGCCAAAAGAAAGUAAUAAGGCACGAGUUUGAAAUAAGUGAGGAAAGGCUCACAAGUGUUGUUUGUUGUAGAAAGGGUCCAAAAAGUUGAAAUCGGCCCUAAAAAGUUGAAUGAAUAACCCCAUUGUGUUUAAAGUUAGUUGCUGCAUUCAAAGGGAAUUCUAAGCAUCAAUUUCAUUACUUUGCUUAUUAUGCUUUAAAAACGUUUGUUUCCUUACCUUUCAUUGUUAGCCAAUCAACCCUAACCCCGUUACAACCCUUAACUUCAAUCUUGAGUGUUAUGCGUUUCAAUAUGUGGAGUUUGGGAUUGGUACGAGCAUAUGGUGUCCCUGGUUCUCGCAUCUAAGUAGUAGCAUUCCAGUCAUGAGAUCAUAUCUAUACAUGCUUAAUAACUCCAGAAAUUGCUUUCUUUGCUAUAAACAUAUGUGAGUGUUCGUUUUCAUGUUUACAUCAAUCUUCUCACAUACACCUAGUGUAGGGUGUGUAGUCAGAAAAUCGGAGUGAAAAUAAGAGUGUAUCUUGUAAGGAAUUGAGCAGAUUCUCUAAGGCAUGUUACUACAUUCAAAACAUAGUUUUAAUUGGUUAUAUGUGAACUAGUAUGUGGUGACUAUGAUUAAGUAUGUGCUCAAGGGUAGGGAAGGCCAAAAUAUGUGGUUAUGAUGAUCUUUUGCAUGUCAUGUUGCAUUGAAAAUCCCUAAGGUAAAUUUUGGAAGGUUUAGGUUUUGUUUUGUUCUUAUGUUUUGUUUCUUUGUUUU